UCUUCGGAGGGUCGAGGCAGAAGACCAAAAUUGGGGAACAAUAAAGAGAAGAUUAGUAUGGCUCCUGCGCAAGGAUGACACGCAAAAUCGUGAGGCUUUGUUUUU